rnacentral:tRNA from 1 species
CGCGGGGAUGGUCAGGUCGAGCUCUUCGAUGGCCGUGAAGCCGGGGAAUCGCUUCUGGAUGCCGACCAGUUCGAGGUCGGCACCGCGU